AUUAAACGCUGGCGGCAUGCCUUACACAUGCAAGUCGAACGGUAACGGGCCUUCGGGUGCCGACGAGUGGCGAACGGGUGAGUAAUACAUCGGAACGUGCCCGAUCGUGGGGGAUAACGAGGCGAAAGCUUUGCUAAUACCGCAUACGAUCUACGGAUGAAAGCAGGGGACCGCAAGGCCUUGCGCGGACGGAGCGGCCGAUGGCAGAUUAGGUAGUUGGUGGGAUAAAAGCUUACCAAGCCGACGAUCUGUAGCUGGUCUGAGAGGAUGAUCAGCCACACUGGGACUGAGACACGGCCCAGACUCCUACGGGAGGCAGCAGUGGGGAAUUUUGGACAAUGGGCGCAAGCCUGAUCCAGCCAUGCCGCGUGCAGGAUGAAGGCCUUCGGGUUGUAAACUGCUUUUGUACGGAACGAAAAGCCUUCUUUUAAUACAGGAGGGUCAUGACGGUACCGUAAGAAUAAGCACCGGCUAACUACGUG
rnacentral:rRNA from 1 species